rnacentral:rRNA from 1 species
CCUACGGGAGGCAGCAGUGGGGAAUAUUGCACAAUGGGGGAAACCCUGAUGCAGCGACGCCGCGUGAGUGAAGAAGUAUUUCGGUACGUAAAGCUCUAUCAGCAGGGAAGAAAAUGACGGUACCUGACUAAGAAGCCCCGGCUAACUACGUGCCAGCAGCCGCGGUAAUACGUAGGGGGCAAGCGUUAUCCGGAUUUACUGGGUGUAAAGGGAGCGUAGACGGCAGCGCAAGUCUGGAGUGAAAUCCCAUGGCUUAACCAUGGAACUGCUUUGGAAAAUGUGCAGCUAGAGUGCAGGAGAGGUAAGCGGAAUUCCUAGGGUAGCGGUGAAAUGCGUAGAUAUUAGGAGGAACACCAGUGGCGAAGGCGGCUUACUGGACUGUAACUGACGUUGAGGCUCGAAAGCGUGGGGAGCAAACAGGAUUAGAUACCCCUGUAGUC